CACCAUUCUCUCAGCCACGUGUUCGGUUAUACGAAAUGGCGGCCACACUGGGGAAGCACUCAUUAAUUGUUUCCCUUGCGGUUUCGCACUUAAGUGGUUAAUGUUCUAAGAGACAAAUGGAUUCCGUUCGUAUGAAGUCUCCCGAACGGCCAAAGAAGAACCACACAAAGUAACUGGCAAAACACACACAAUAACAGGGGGGAAAGAUACAGACA